rnacentral:tRNA from 1 species
GACGAUGGCCGAAUGGUUAGGCAUCAGCUCAGCGCUGAAUAAGUCGGUUCGAUUCCGACACGUCACCA